UUCCGAACUAUUGUCGUAAGACAUUGCAGCCAAGCUGGUAUCCCAGAUCGUUACACCCCCAAACAACGUAGAAUUAGCUUUGUAGUUAAGAAGAUCACGAGUUAAAUUCUUUGGGCUGAUGAAGCCGUUGGAUCCAUUUUGAUGACCAACAACGCCAUAAAAAAGACUAGUAUUGGUAUUAUAAGCACUGUCUUCUGCAUACUCAACCCAUGCAUCAAAAGUGCUAUUACGACUUCCACUGCAUCCCUCGCCAGUUGAUGAGUUAAAAGUGUGGAUGGAAAGGAAAUCGAAUGAGUUCUCAGAAAUCGCCUUUGUAAGAGUAUGAUCAGGAACCAUGCAAGUAGGAGCAGCAGAGAUAUAAUAUUUACGUCUUGGAUCGGAUGCAUAUAUCUCAAGCAUACGCUUUGCAAAUGCAGAAUAGGCGGUGUUAGUACCUUUGUUCACUUCUAAGUCAAAACCGUCUACAACGGCUUUACCGAAUGGCCGGUAUGAAUCCUCACCACUUCCGAAAAUGUUCCAAACUUGAAAAGCAAAGUUUGUCCCAUCAUCAUCAUUAUUUAAUGAAAAAUUUCCAUUGUACCCACCGAUUGAAAGUAGCACUUUGAUACCAUUUUCUUGGCACACUUGAAUAUCGGUUUCUAUUUGAGGGCACUUUUUCAGUUCGCUACCACUGAAGGUGUCACUGUCAGAACACAAAUUGGAAAAAUCGUAAACGGGCCAGCCGUCAACGUUGAAAUCAAUGACAGAAGAAAGAAUUAUAGCAUCAUAGGUGGUGUUUUGACAAUAACUCGAUAGUCUUUUUUGAUCUCUAUCACCCAUUUUCCCUGCCAAGUUGGAACCCCAGUAUCCGAGUACCGCAGUUUGGUUAGUGAGGUUUAAGCUUA